rnacentral:rRNA from 1 species
CCUACGGGAGGCAGCAGUGGGGGAUAUUGCACAAUGGGGGAAACCCUGAUGCAGCGACGCCGCGUGGGGGAAGACGGUCCGCUGGAUUGUAAACCACUGUCCCCAGGGACGAAGAUGACGGUACCGGGGGAGGAAGCGCCGGCGAACUACGUGCCAGCAGCCGCGGUAAUACGGAGGGAGCGAGCGUGGUCCGGAAUUACUGGGUGUAAAGGGAGCGUAGGCGGGCCUGCAAGUUGGGUGUCAAAUCUACCGGCUCAACCGGUAGCCGCACUCCAAACUGCAGUUCUUGAGUGAAGUAGAGGCAGGCUGCAUUCCUAGUGUAGCGGUGACAUGCGUAGAUAUUAGGCG